GUUGAAACACUGGUUCUCGUACGAUCACUGAAGUUAAGAAACCUCGAGCCUUGUCAGGACCUAGAUGGGUGACCGCCUUGGAAAGACAAGGUACUGUAA